GAUGAACGCUGGCGGCGUGCCUAAUACAUGCAAGUCGAACGCUGGAAAUCUAGCUUGCUAGAUUGAAGGAGUGGCGAACGGGUGAGUAAUACAUAAGCAACCUACCCACGAAGACUGGGAUAAUCUCUGGAAACGGGGACUAAUACCGGAUAGGUAAUCGGAAGGCAUCUUCUGAUUAUUAAAGGUUAAAAACACUGGUGGAUGGGCUUAUGGCGCAUUAGUUAGUUGGUGAGGUAACGGCCCACCAAGACGAUGAUGCGUAGCCGGCCUGAGAGGGUGAACGGCCACAUUGGGACUGAGACACGGCCCAGACUCCUACGGGAGGCAGCAGUAGGGAAUUUUCGGCAAUGGAGGAAACCCUGACCGAGCAACGCCGCGUGAGUGAUGACGGCCUUCGGGUUGUAAAGCUCUGUUGUAAGGGAAGAACGGUAGAUAGAGAAUAUCUAAAUGACGGUACCUUACCAGAAAGCCACGGCUAACUACGUG
rnacentral:rRNA from 1 species